rnacentral:rRNA from 1 species
UACGAAGGGGGCUAGCGUUGUUCGGAUUUACUGGGCGUAAAGCGCACGUAGGCGGGUCGUUAAGUCGGGGGUGAAAUCCUGGAGCUCAACUCCAGGACUGCCUUCGAUACUGGCGACCUAGAGUCCGGAAGAGGUGAGUGGAACUCCUAGUGUAGAGGUGGAAUUCGUAGAUAUUAGGAAGAACACCAGUGGCGAAGGGCGGC